AAUGGGAUAGCUGGGUCGAAUGGUAGUUCCAUUCCAAGUUUUUCAAGGAAUUUCCAUAUUGCUUUCCAGAUUGGUUGCCCAAUUUGCAGUUCCACCAGCAAU
rnacentral:pre_miRNA from 1 species